UAGGGCUUCACACGUCAUACAAUGGUGCAUACAGAGGGUUGCCAAGCCGCGAGGUGGAGCUAAUCCCAGAAAAUGCAUCGUAGUCCGGAUCGUAGUCUGCAACUCGACUACGUGAAGCUGGAAUCGCUAGUAAUCGCGGAUCAGCAUGCCGCGGUGAAUACGUUCCCGGGUCUUGUACACACCGCCCGUCACACCAUGGGAGUGGGCUUUACCAGAAGUAGUUAGCCUAACCGCAAGGAGGGCGAUUACCACGGUAGGGUUCAUGACUGGGGUGAAGUCGUAACAAGGUAACC
rnacentral:rRNA from 1 species